AAAACGUUUUAAGACACAGACGUACGCUCAGCAUUUCUCGAAAUAAAGUUAUGGCAAGAUUUCUGGGGAAUGCGUUAUCCAGAGAAAAUAAUUCUCGUAUGCGCUGGUUUGCAAACGGUUUUUAGAUAUUAGCAGCGAUCAUUCAGUGAAUAUUGCAAGCGUCCCGUCAUGGCCUCUCUCGCCGCUUGGACAAUCAUUCUGCUUGGAAUAGUGAGUGGAUCGCGUAUUGCACUGGCGUCUUGGUUGAACAAAUAUCGAGACCCUUGCGUGCCUUGUUCCUGCAAGUAUUCUGACGAGAUCUACUGUGAAUGGAAUGACGAGACCAACUGCUACUGCGUCAGGGGCUGCUACCGAGAAGGCGUCGAUGGCCGCUUCCUGACCAUUCGAGAGUGCUUUCCCAUAUUGAAUAGCUACCAAUAAAUGAUGGUUGCACA